UCACACCUGACAGUCUUCAGAGAUUCUCAGACAAACUUCCACACACAGUCUGAACUCUCUAGGAGAACUAUUUAGGAGUCUUGCCAACUAUCCCUGUUUCAAAAAUUCAAGGUCUUGGCUUCUCCUGUGGCUAGAAUUUCAGGGAAACUAACCUGGGAGCUGUUUAUUUAGCCUUGGAUGUAUGUAGCAUCUUAGAGCUUGUAGAGUCCAGUCAUUAAGAUGGUUGCUUCACAGUAGACUUGCUCCAUUGAGUGGCUUGGGAAUUAUUGCUGGGGUGGGCGAAGCUGAAGUUUAGUUUAAACAGUUAAUGACCACAUUGGUUAUAAAAGUGAAUGCUUUUUGUCUGCAUACUAAAUAUAGCUAUUUGACAACGGCUGAUACUAUUGUCUUCAGCACACUGGUUUCCAAAUUUCUGGGCUGGUUCACAGUUUACAUGGCUUGUGUAUUCGCCAUAUGUACAGUGGUAAACUUUCUAAAGGGUGAAGCAAAAGACUUAAAAAAUAAAUAAAUCUGGCCUUCGCUUCCUAGCAUGUAUCCUUAUAUGUUCAUCAGCUUUACCCAACUGGUGCCCUCCAGAUGUGGUGGAACUGGUGGAAAUUAGUUCUGCUAAUGGGAAUUAGUUCUGCAGAACUGGCACUUUUACACAACGCCAAUGCCACUUGUAAAGAAUUGAUCUUCCAGUGUGGCAGCGUCUACAGUCUGUAACUCCUUGCCCAUGGACACAAGGCAGGCUUCUUUACUGUAUUGGUUUUGCCACCUACACCCCCCCUUUUAACCCUUACCCAAAUAUGCAAGGUUGACACACAUUUUAAAUAGACAAUUAAGAUCAAAGCUGCUGGUGUUGUAGCUUACAAACCUUUCAUCUCAGUAGUAGCCAAUAGGAAUUACAACAACAUUGUAGCUAAUAGGAAUUACAGUACGGGAUCUCUGCUGCAAAGCUUAACGGUUUCAAGCAUUUGGCACAGCUAUAGUUUAGCUCCCGCCUGGAAACCUAUGUCCCCACUGUGAAAGGACGUGUGGAUCCAGAAUUGGCCUCCACAGUUUUAAAUCUUCACAGAGGAUUUCCAAACUUCAGUCUCCUUUUUUGCAUCCUGUGCACCUAGUGGCACUUGUGCUAAGGGUGAUCCAGCACCCAGGCUAUUGCUGGUGACUGAGGUGGGAGUAAAAUGUGCCUGAAGUACCAAUUUGUUCCUUAACUUAGUGCAGCAGCUAUCAUUUAACUGUGUUGCAGCUCCACUCAACAUGCAAAUAGGGUUCAUUCAAAGUGAUGAAUCUUGGGAUUCUUACAAUAAUAGUGUUCUACUAGCUUCCAGGUGGCGCUGUGGGCUAAACCACUGAGCCUAGGGCUUGCUGAUCAGAAGGUCGGCGGUUCGAAUCCCUGUGACGGGGUGAGCUCCCGUUGCUUGGUCCCAGCUCCUGCCAACCUAGCAGUUCGGAAGCACAUCAAAAUGCAAGUAGAUAAAUAGGAACCGCUACAGCGGGAAGGUAAACGGUGUUUCCAUGUGCUGCUCUGGUUUGCCAGAAGCGGCUUUGUCAUGCUGGCCACAUGACCUGGAAGCUAUACGCCGGCUCCCUCGGCCAAUAAUGCGAGAUGAGCGCGCAACCCCAGAGUCAGUCAUGACUGGACCUAAUGGUCAGGGGUCCCUUUACCUUUACCUUUUACUAGCUUCCACCAGCUGGUGACUUAUGCUUUCUCUCUGCUUUACAUGUAUGCUUUUAAACAUACUCAGCAUGCCUUAACAUGUGCUAAAACACACAAUUUGUGUUGCUCAGGGAUUACCGUUUUCCUACAAAUAAUUUUGAUGCACUACAUUAAGAAGAUGGUUCGUCUUCUGCUUCAGCUUUGGGUUUACUGACUUAUUGUCUGAUUUCUUUCUCUUACUUUCUACCACUAGGAAUUAGGUAGUAGCAGAGUUCCAUAUUUCCUAAAAUGCUGAUUUGGCAGAUAAUUGAUUAGAUUCUUUCUUUUUCCAGUGUUGGAAGUUACCUAAUUUCCUUGUUCUACUCUGAAAGCAGAUGUGAACAUAAAGAAAAUAAGCAUAUCUAAGCUUCAGUUCCUUGCAUUCAGUGUUUCAUCUAACCUGUUUGUCUCAACCCUUCCUGAAUCCAUUGUGCCUGCAGUGGAUAAUAGGGGCGGAGUGACAGAGUGAACAUACUGAGCUUGGGUGAAAAUAAUCCACAAUUUUACCAAAUGCCAUUCCUUCAGCAGUUUGACAUUAAGAGGGUAGGUUGUUCUCAGCUGGAUAUACCCACAGGAGGAAGAAUGGUGCAAUACAGGGUGAUGUAGGUCAACUCUGCUGCUCCUACCAAAGGACUGCGGAUGUGGCUAUUAUGCAUCCUAGUCGCAGGGCAGGUUUUGUAAGAUAAUUCCCCCAGGAGUUUAGAAUGUGAUCCUAUAGUUUGCUGCCUCUUGCAUAGGGCAGGGACUGUACUAGGUAUGACAGCAUAUACAGAGCAAAAAACAAAAUAAUUUAUGUGAAGGCAAUACUCUAGUACUGUUUCCCUUCAGCAGCUCAUUUGGAGCACAACAACACUUUAGCAAGAAACAUCCAUACAGCAGCUGGUGAAAAAGCAUGUAAUUGCCUCUGAAGACUUCUCCAGUGCUGGUUUAUUUUUGUAAUUUAGGGAGUGGAAAGAUUGUUUCUUCCCAGUUUGUCUCUCACUAUGUCCUUGCCCCCAACACAGUGAAAGCUGCAUGCUGCUUUAUGUGUUUUCGUCAUUUUUGUUUUUAACCAGGGUAGUCAAUCUGGUGCCCUCCAGAUGUUGGAGUGCUAUGCAGGGGUGUAGUGGGAGGGCUGGGGGUCAUGCCCCCGGGUGCAUUUUUGAGAGGAGGCACAACCAGGCACCCCCCCCCCACAGGCUCCCUCAUUGGAGCCUGGCUCUGGUGUGCAAGGGAGCUGCCGCGCCUCUCCUGCACUGGGCUGCAUGCAGGAGGGAGCAGGCAGCUCCCUCAUUCCCAGACGCAGCUCUGCUGCUGGGUCAGGUCUGACCCGGAAGGCAGAGAGGAGGGGGAGAGUCACGGCAGCGUUGCUGUCCCUCUUCUAAGCUGGGCAGUGCCGUGUGAGGAUACUGCUGAGGCGUGCCCUGCAUGCAUGUACAGUACUAGGUGGCAGGAGUGUACGCUCCACCGCUGGUGCAACCACCGGCGGAGGAAGGGGGUGUGGUGGGUGCAGCCUGCCCUGGGUGUCAUCCCGGGGGUGUGUGACAUCGCCACGCCACCCCCUGGAAUGCUCACCCUGCCCCAGUGGGCAGCUAGCCCUGCCUCUGGGUGCACAGCAUGUGCGCCGCUCCAGGUGCCGGAGUAGCUAGCUCCACCUCUGGGUGCAGCUCCAGCCAUCUCUAACUAUUGGCCAUGCUGGCUAGGGUUACUGGAUUAUGGAGUCCAAGAACAUCUGGAGGGUGCCACGUUUGCUAUCUCUGAUUUCUGAUGAGUUAAUAAAUCUGCCCUUGGUUUUUUGCAAGAGCAUUGUUUUAUGUGUGAUGGACGAAGAACUCUGCUUUGAGCUAAGACUAUUAUUUUCACUUAACCAUAAUGGUUUUGUGGUGCUUCUGACAGCUAUCAAAUGCAUUGUGGAAUAAACCUUUGUGGUUGGUAUGUACACAUGUGUAUAAAUUCUAUUUACACGUGCAUAUGCACUAGUAAAAAGAGAAUAUGUUUCGCAAGAAACUAGAGGUGUCACAUUCCUGUGCACAGCAGAAAUGGUGUAAUGGCAAGUCACAUCAAGUACAUUGUGGUUCCCAUUUUACUGAUAGCUGAGGGUAAGGAGAUUGAGAGUAAGGCAUAGCAAUUUUAUUUCUCGACUAUUUUUUAUUAAUACAAUUUUUGAUGACUACAAUUGAAGUAACAUGCCAGUAAAAAUAAAAACGAAGUCCAAUUCGUGAAAGGAAACAUUUUUGACUAUAUAAUUUAUUAAUACAAAUAUACUGAACUGCCAGAUAUGAUGUAUAAGUCUGAAGAAAAGCUGACCAAAUGCUAUUGUAUUGUUCUUUGUUCACAUUGAUGCAUUGCCAGCUUGGACGUGGACAGGGAGUACUGAUCAUUAAUCCAUUGUUGUAUGGGAAGUGAUCUCUCCUUCCAGUAUUGAAGCACCAUGUGUUUGGCAGAUCCUAGUGCAUGCCUGCCUGACCUGUAUUUCAUGAAGCACAGCAGUUUAACUCAGGUUAGUUACAGUUGAACAAUUACCUGGAUACUGGUUGCUCAGCCCCAGUAAUUUGUCCAGAAGAGCACACACGUUUCUGUAUUGCUGUAGAGGCGUAUAAAUAAUUUGGACAUUUGCUUUGUUUUUUAAAACUACAUUAGGUGAAUUUUCAAAUCAAGAUACAGACAUAAUGGCCAAUAUGUUCAUUUUAAUGGACCAUGUUGUAAUUCUUGGAAUUUAGGAACACCCACGCAACUGUUGCAUGAUAGACAGAUGGUUAAAAUCUUUUACACCAAGUGGUGACAGCUUCCCUACUGAGAGAAGAUGGGGAAUCUUGUCUUUUUGACUAAGAUUUAAUGUAAACCACCAAGUGCUGAGGAAAUUAUUUUCAUGGAAGAAAAAAAAAUACUUUAGUGACUGUCAGUUACAGAUUUGCCAGGGAAAAAAUGUAAUUACUUUUGAUUGGCUGAGCAAUACAGCUUUUCUUCAAUCAGGUGUUCUGUACUUGGCUCAUUUGCUAAUUCUUCUAGGCUGCAUGGUUUUAACAAAUAAUAUUCAGCAAAUAGGCAUGGGGUUAUCAAGUAAGUACGGUAUGCAGAUGCAAGAGAAGCUCUCCAUCCUAUCUCUUCCCCAGCAGCUCUCUGACCACUCUGAAAAACCUUUCCAGAGGGCAAGAAGACUCUUAGUAAAGACUUGGGAUAUAAGGUAAGGAGCUUUGGUGAGAAAGGAGAGUCAGGAGAAAUUGGAUGGAAGAGGUAGUUGGUUAAGCAUCGGAUCUCCUACCUCUUCCAGGCCUGGCCACAGACUGCUCUGACCUUGCCUCUCACCUGACCUUUGUUGUCGCCUCUGCUUGCUUGCCUGCCUGACCUUAUAAUGGACCUGGAUACUGCUUUGGUUACUCCUGGCAAGUCUCCCGUUUAUUCAGGGGCCUAGUGAAAACAGGGCAUCUGUACUGAGAAGACACAGUGUAUAUAUAUUUUUUGUCAUGCAAGAGAAACUAAAACCUCACUGUCCAGUGUUCAUUAUCAGUCUCAGCUCUGUCUUCCCACCUCUUUCUCAGUUCAGCUUGGCUCCCUCUCUCUACAGCAAAAUUCUGAUGCCAGUGCACAGCAAGCAAAUGGUGCAAUUGGCUGCUAGGCCCUGGAAAAUAGGCUCCUCCUCUCUCUUUGUCGAUUAGCCUUGACUAUAGUAUCUGUCUCCUUUUUUUGUUGCCUUAUCAUCGGGGUGGGUGGUGUGUCAGCACCCCUGGCCAAUCUUAGGGGGAGUUUGAUCCCCGUUUUCCAUUUUCCACAUCUCUGGUGCAAUCUCAAGUAAAAGUAUUUACAAUUUUGAAUGUUUCGUGUGUGUAGUUGAGUAGGCUUUCAAAAAUGGUAAGGGAGGUAAGGGAAAUCAACAGGACUUGUGAAGGAAGAAGCAUAAAGUGACAAACUAUAUUGGAGAAAGCAGUUGUAGAGAUGAUGAUUUACAAGUAGCCUCAAUUAUAUCAUUAGGCCUACUCAUGGAGAAGGACUUCAUUCAUCUAGAGAUCAUCCCCUUGGAAACAGGCUUCCCUUUUCACAGAUAUAUUUGUUCCAGAGGCCAGUUUGAACACAGAAUUUUAUGAAUUGUUUAUAAGGAUGGUAGGCUGGUUUGUAUACAGCUGAACAUGUAGCUUUUUCUGAAAAAAAGUUUACUACUGUAAUAUCAAGCUGUCUUCCCAUUCAGCAACAGUUUCACUUGCAACUUGUCGUGUCUUAGAUGAUUCAGGCUGGAAUCCUUUGCACACUUUAUCAGGAAUAAGCCCUGUUAGAUUCAGUAAGGUUUAUUUCUGCACAGACCUGCAUAGACCUUCAUUCUUGCUUUCUGUACUUAGUACAUUAUGCUGAAAUCGUGGCUCAUUUCUCUCUGAAUACAUAUUUUCCUAAGGAUGUCAUCACACUGCAGUUCACAUGGUUGCGGUUAGGCAGCCCAGCCCAGUGAGCAGAAAUUUGGUGAGGUUUAAGGGGGAGGGGUAGCUUUUGCGAGUGAAGUGAGCAGGGGUGCGGGCCCUAGUUGUUGCUUUUUUAACAUCUUGUUUCUCUCAACCUAUAGCUCCCUUAAUCCCUUACAUUUGUUUUCUCAACUGCUAUUUUGAGCGAGUAAUGCUAGUUGUAUAAAGUAAAGGACUUAAACAUUGCAGUUUGAUGAAAUUAAACACCAUGAACUCUUUUUCUGCAUCAUUGCCUAGAGUAGACUGAGUGAAAUACAGGCAUAACUAAAAAAAGGGUCAACAUAUCCUUUAGAGAAAUUAUUGUAGGGGUAUUUGCUUUUUUAUUAGCCUGAUAUUGUGCUGUGAUAAACUAUUACAGUAAGAGCCAUAUCGUGAUUUUAUAGCGGGCAAAGCAUAAUUUAUGAUACCACAUUUCUUUAAAAGUUGGCAGCAUGCUGUACCUGUGAGGCUUCUUUAUGAUAAGCCUCUAAAUUUGGUCUUUUAAGUUCUUGAUAAUACAGAGAAAGUGGCCUAGUAGCUAAAAUAAACAUCACUGUUUAUUUUAAAUCAUAACUUGCAUCUGUCACAUGAUCGGUAGCUAUUGGAAUGAGAAACUGGAGAGUAGCAGAAAGGGAUUUCAUAGCUGGUAAAGCAACCAUGCUGAACCCACUAGGGUUGCUGUGGGGGCCGCUAGCUGUUUGAAAUAUUUGUGCAAAGUUUUUUUGCAAUGUAUCAUUUUUUAAUGUCGGAAAUGGAAAUCAUGGAUUAAUGGGCCGGACUUUAAAGAGAUCUGUUCAACCCAAAUAGCAGAUCGAUACUUUUUUUCUUUUUUCUUUAAGGUGAGGGUUAAAAUCAAAUAUUUGUUUUAUUAAGAUCAUGUCCAGGUAUGUGUGCAAGGCUGCACAUCUCAGGGGGGGAUUUUUCAUAAGGGAGAAAAGGCUUCUCUAUAAAAGAUGGGAGUUUCUUAACAGACACCGUGACAUUUCUUUCAAAAUGCACAACUUUCCCCUUUGGUGUUAGGCAGAGAGGAAGCACACUUUGGUGUUAUGCAGAGAGGAAACGCAUAAUAUGACAGACUUCUCAGUCUGCAUGUGCCAGUGUAAAUUUUCCCUGUAACAAAAAAUAAAACUACAGUUGCAUGCAACAGGUGGCCAAGGGUCUAUAAUUAGACCUGUAGCUUGAAGAAUAUAAAAUAAUAGGAAAGAAUAGAUAAUCUUUUCAGUUUCCAGGCAGCAUCUAUAAAUCUUUAUUACAUAUUGAUAAACUGAUCUUUCUACUGAGCAGUAAAUGCCUUCAUUCUUUUUAAUGUGACAGCUAAUUUUGGUUCUCUAACCAUUACUGUCUAUUCAUAAAUAAAGUAAUUAUCCUUUUGUCUUUUCUAAUGGGAUAUGUUGUCAUCUGGCUCUGAUGUGCUUUGUGCUGUAUGUGACUGUCUUAUUUAUUUUAUGGAGUGCUACUAAUGAAAGGCAAAUAAACUUCAAAAAAAGUUUUUUAAUUCUAAAAUAAUGUAAUUUCUGAGUAAUAGGCUAACUUGUAAAGGAACAAUUCUUUCAAGUACAUGGGCAAUUUAUUCUGAAGACUGUGUGGUACCAAAUACUUUGUUAUCUACUCACCCAUUCACUUCUUUCCUCUGUGCUCACCAAAUUUGCUACAACAAAACUGACAGGAAGUGCAAGGAGUGCAGCUUGAUAACAAAAAGUCAGACAAUUACGAAGUAUUUUAUUCAGUGAACAUGUGGUGAAGAACAAUGAAAAUAAUCUUGGAGAAUAUGUUUUAAUUUUAGUCAUUUGAUCAUUUGAAAAGCUUCAUCAAGGCAGUCAACCCAGCUGGCUAAAAAAGAGGCAAGACUACAGAGGAAGACAGAUGCUGCUUCUGAGCCGAGCUUUCCAAAAUAAAUAACACAAUACAAAAACCAAAAAAUAAAAAUAAUAAAAUUACUCUGACACAGUUCCAAACUUUACACAACAGCGGCUUAACAAGAGACCACUUAUUGUGCCAUUCUCUUUUCUCUCUUUAGUUUUGAGAUCUAGGAUGCAAGUAGAUGUUAAUUUGUUUUGCAUUUUAAUAAACAGUACAAUGGUUGGUGGCAAAUUAAUUCAUACGAUUUAGCACCCUUUGUCAGUUCUUGUGUCAUGGAACAAUUUUUAAGUGAGAGUACUGAUGCAGAGCUCAGCCAGCAAAGCGUAACAGCAGCAGGCUGAUGCCUAUUUAUAUUUUAUUAGCAUCUAUCUCAUCCAUUAACUUCCCCAAACUCUAUCAACUUAAUUUGUAAGCCUCAUAGUUUAUUCUCUUUCAGAUUAACUCCUUUUAUCAUUUCAUUUGGAAAUAUGUGGCAUCUGUAGGACUCCUCACAGCACUGAAAUCUUUAAUUUUUUAUGUAUCUUGCAACAUGUGAAAGCUCCCCCCUCAGUUGAUAUGAAGCUCUUUGUGCAAUGAAUGUGUAUGAGAAGCUGGUGAGAAGUUUGUCGCUUAGAACACCUGUCAAACGUACGCACAUUGAUCAAGAACUGUGGCUGAAAUCAGAAGCUAAUGAGAGCAUUUCUUCCCCUUUUAAAGCUAUUCCUUUUCUCAAGAAAAGCUACCGUACAUCUGAUCUAUAGAAAUGUACAGUUGCUGUUUCUAGUAAAUUUUCCUUGUAUCACUUUGCAUGAACUGCUGACAAGGAAUGUUCAGUUCACAGCUUUUUUGUGACAAUUUAUAUCCAGUUCUAUCCGCAAAGGUGAAUAUUUGAAUGAAAUAUGGACAGGUCUUCUCUUUUUCAUCCACAUAUUCCAAAUGUGUAUAUAUAAUUGUAUAUUUGACUAGUUCAAUUUUGUUGUACUUGGGCAUUAUUGUAGUCAAUAAAAGGGUUCAGAUAUUUUCCUAUUUCCAAGCCGUACAGAUUGCAUUUUAGUAUUUGGCCUGUCCCCCUUUUCUUUUUUACUGCUGGCCUGGGAUUACUUUUUUUUCUUUUGGUGCUGUUCCAUUUCCCAUUGUCCCUUCCCUUAUACCUGCAUCCUUCUAAGUGUAGGUAUGUACAGUCUGGUAAUUUGAAGGAAUUUGAUUUUGGGGGUACUUUUAUGGUAUUUGCAUAGGCCAGGGGCAGAAGCCUUAUGUAGCUGCUUAUAGGCCUUGCUUUGCUUGCCAAUAGUUCACAUGUAACACUAAGCCGUUUGUUUAGAACAGGGAUGUCCAACUUCCAAGAGACUG